CUAGUACGGCAAAAUUUUCUCCAUCCAGAUGCAGAAGCUAUCCUCAAUAUCCCGUUGAGUGCACAUGGUGGGGAAGACAGCCUCGCUUGGGCUCUAGAAAAAUCGGGCAACUACACUGUUAAAUCGGCAUAUCGUUCUCUCGUGACUCGAAAUGAGCUUCGUGCUUAUGAGGAAGGGGCGAUUACAGAAUCUUCAUCGGCAAAUAAACAGUUGUGGACUGCCUUAUGGAAAUUGCAUGUCGUGCCGAAAGUAUGAGUCUUUUGGUGGAGGGUUCUUCGUGGCAUCCUACCGGAGUCGAUGACUUUGAAGUACAGACAUGUUAAACCUAUUGGUAUAUGCGGUAUAUGCUAA
rnacentral:rRNA from 1 species